rnacentral:rRNA from 1 species
CUUUUUACAUAAAAUAUAUAUAUACUCUCCUCCCUCAUCGAAAACAAUAAUAAAGUACCUGUAACUAACUCAAUUAAAUAAUUUUGUGCAUGAUGUGGUCUACUGGUCUUCGUCCUGACCGUAGCCCGAUAGAAGAGUGGAUGAGGUGUGAUAGUUGUGCAUAAGUAAAAGAAGAAAGAGAUCAGAAACCAGAAAAGCCUCGAGGGUCGGUACCUUUCCUCGUUUUCCGACUCGGUCUAAUCUAGGUGAGGUAGAGUUCUGUUCGGGCUCAGAGGGGAGCCAAACGAUGAAACACCAGGAGUGGAGGUGUGCGUGGAGCACCGACCCUACUACGAACCUAGGGCCGGCCACUUGUGCAUCGUCCCGGGAUUAUCGUCGACGCACUACCUCUUGCGCUCCAGCAGCCCGAGCUGCUACGGAAAGGGCAGUCGCAGGUACAUCCGCUACCUCACCUAGAGCAAGGGAAUCGAGGACGCGUUAAAACCCCUAGGACCCUCCCAAUAGGCAGGGGUUGGCAGCUCGACGUCCGCAGCAACGACAAGGGUUCGCUCCGUGGACUGCGUAGAAGAAGUAGGAGAUGUCAUCGUCGGGCCGAAACCGCAACGUAAGAAGGUGGACGUUAUAUGAAAUUCCAUAAAUACCUAUAUAUUUUCCGGCCAUCGUAGGCAGAUCAAGUGCCGCUGCCUGUACCGGAGACGUGGCCGCUUGUAAGUUCGGUUAUGGGUAGAUCAAGUAUACAUACGUUCAUCGCGGUGUAAAUUAUUUAGAAACAAAGACAGACUGGUUUAGGAAACCAAACAUAACUAGUCACAUAUGUACAGGAACGGGACUCACGUACAUGGUGAGAAUAUAACAUUUAAGGGUUUCUCUGUUAACUACUGCCGUGGAAUCUAAUGUUUAACUAUUACAUGUUAAUCAAUUCACUUUAGCCAAGACCGAGAGGUACAAAGUACCCCACUUCGUGUUAUACACAUUUCGGGAUAGCUCAAAAUGGUAGACUCGGUGAAUCAUGACGCUAUGUCACCUCUAAGGUCGUUAGGAUGUCAGGCACCUAUGACGAUAAGUCAUCCAAUUAUCGCACGGGGGGAAAAAUUUUUUGGUAAAAUAAACAAAAAUCAUUCAAAUAAGGAAAAACAUUAUAUAAAACUCGAGAAGAAAUCUAUCGAUUAAGAAACCAGAGUAAAUAAACGACAAAGAUACUCACAAACAGGAGUAUAAAUCCACUUUUAGGCUCAACUUCUCCGCACCCAGAUAGUAUUCCUGGACCACUAAAAGUCCUUACCUAUACGCCUAGUAUGUACAAUGCUUAGAUGUAUUGGAUGGCUCAUACGGAGAAAAAGCUAAGAUAACAGCGGUAUUUCUUUUCGGAGGAAAAAGUUAAGAAACACUUUAAUUUUUUAUUCAUGUAUACUCUUUCCUACCACAUUAUAGUUAUAUUAAACGUAUUAAUUUACAAUUCUACUCUUGCUGAUUUGUAAGUCACAGAGGUUUGACCUAUUCAGACGUACGUGUGUAUCAUUCAAUUUAGGUACAAGAGUACCUGAGAAUUUCAUUUGUGUUAACAUACGAUUACGUCUGAUGAAGGUUCAUAUAUCUUAUAGAUCUUAUAUAAACAUAUUCACGUCGGUUCCCCUAAUUCAAACAUCAAAUCGUGAACGAUUACGCAGCAGGAUCGGACACAAGGAAGGUCCACGAAAGGAUUAGGAGAACAGAAGACAACUAAGAAAAGAGAAUAAAAACGUAAGACAGGAAAAUAAAAAGCAAAAAAGGAAAUCUAAAACUUAGGUAAGAGUGAUUUUCAACUUACACUUAUUAUAUGAAAGGGACGAUCCGUUUGAAAUUAUCUUUUGAUUAACACAAAUAUCUACGUAUACACCGUAACAUCGUGGUUCGACAACCACGUACAGGCAAGUUUGUAUUUUUUUUCUUGGAAGAAAGAAUCGACUCUUAUGGAGCAGUAACCAUGGUAGUUACGAUUUUACCAGUACUAAAAACAGUACAGGACGGUCAUUCCAUUCCAUCUUAUGGUAUAUCAAAUUUUAUAUUUUAACCUGUAAACAAAAAGAAUUUUGUUUUUAAAUUUCAAAACUGUACACAUUUAAUAAAAACGUCCAUGUACGUAAAUAACCCAGGUUAUUAGUGGGACCAAUAGCUAUUUGCUAAUCUUUGUAACCUAAACCCCAUAACGUUUUUAUCAAAUUUCAAGAGUGGAAACUAUGAACUUAUUUUAACCUUCACUGUCAGUACUAACAAAAAACACGGUUUGAAGGUAAAUGGUAUAAACGAUUUUAUAUAGGGGCAUCUCACUAGGGAUGGAAGAGUGGUGACUUUCUUAAACUGGUACAUUUUCAUUACAUUUUUCAGUAUGUAUUAAGACUUUAACGAAUGUAUUAACUUUAUUGAAUGUUAUCGUUUUCCUGNACGUAGAGCGUCUACAAACUUCAAACGAGAGACGAACAGGCAGACAAGAAGACAUGAAGGAGUUAACCAAAGUAGUACCACUAUGUACGACCUCUAUUAAACUACGUGUAUAAUGAAUGACCUCCACCACACUAACGAACUGCCUCGGCUAUUGUCAGCUCCUCUCAGUUGUCUCCUUUGACCCCGUGAACGUUGAUAACCUCCUUCCACUACAGGUUCACGGCUAGCGACCUCCUUCUGCUACUGCUUCCACCCGAGACUUCCACCCUAGGCUGAACACCCCGCACGACUUUGACUGAACUACGAUCGAACAGUCGAUCAAAGUAGCGGGACCGUGGUAACGAUUGCACUAACGGUCUCAAGUAUUUAGUGUUGUAAUGGAAGAGCGCCAUAGCGGAGCGGGACUAACGAGUUCCAUCAUCGGCGGACGGACCCUGUUGUUUAGUUAGAUUUCAAUCUGAAACAAGGGAACCACAAAACCGUCGUUUUAUAGUAGUUGGAGAACCAACACUACGAAAUUAACAUUCAAUGUGACGUAUACAUCUCCGUUGGAAGGUAAUAAUUAGAUAUUAAUAUUAUCAUUGAAACGUGUAUCAAGAAAACCG